rnacentral:rRNA from 1 species
AUUGAACGCUGGCGGCAGGCCUGACACAUGCAAGUCGAGCGGAUGAAGGGAGCUUGCUCCUGGAUUCAGCGGCGGACGGGUGGGUAAUGUCUAGGAAUCUGCCUGGUAGUGGGGGAUAACGUCCGGAAACGGGCGCUAAUACCGCAUACGUCCUGAGGGAGAAAGUGGGGGAUCUUCGGACCUCACGCUAUCAGAUGAGCCUAGGUCGGAUUAGCUAGUUGGUGGGGUAAAGGCCUACCAAGGCGACGAUCCGUAACUGGUCUGAGAGGAUGAUCAGUCACACUGGAACUGAGACACGGUCCAGACUCCUACGGGAGGCAGCAGUGGGGAAUAUUGGACAAUGGGCGAAAGCCUGAUCCAGCCAUGCCGCGUGUGUGAAGAAGGUCUUCGGAUUGUAAAGCACUUUAAGUUGGGAGGAAGGGCAGUAAGUUAAUACCUUGCUGUUUUGACGUUACCAACAGAAUAAGCACCGGCUAACUUCGUG